AGGACGAACGCUGGCGGCGUGCUUAACACAUGCAAGUCGAACGGAAAGGCCCGCUUGCGGGUACUCGAGUGGCGAACGGGUGAGUAACACGUGGGCAACCUGCCCUCAGCUUCGGGAUAACUCUCGGAAACGGGUGCUAAUACCGAAUGUUGACAUUUCCUCGCAUGGGGUUGUGUUGAAAGUUUUUUCGGCUGGGGAUGGGCCCGCGGCCUAUCAGCUUGUUGGUGGGGUGAUGGCCUACCAAGGCGACGACGGGUAGCCGGCCUGAGAGGGCGAUCGGCCACACUGGAACUGAGACACGGUCCAGACUCCUACGGGAGGCAGCAGUGGGGAAUAUUGCGCAAGUGGGCGGAAGCCUGACGCAGCGACGCCGCGUGAGGGAUGAAGGUCUUCGGAUUGUAAACCUCUUUCAGUAGGGACGAAUUUAGACGGUACCUGCAGAAGAGCACCGGCCAACUACGCGCCAGCAGCCGC
rnacentral:rRNA from 1 species